rnacentral:rRNA from 1 species
AGAGUUUGAUCAUGGCUCAGAACGAACGCUGGCGGCGUGGAUAAGACAUGCAAGUCGAGCGCUGAUUACAGGGUAGCAAUAUUCUGUAGUUGGAGCGGCGCAAGGGUGCGUAACACGUGGGGUAAUUUGCCAUGAAGUCUGGAAUAACUCGCUGAAAAGGCGAGCUAAUGCCGGAUGUGAACAUUGGGCGGCAUCGUUUGAUGUUCAAAGUUGGGGACCGUAAGGCCUGACGCUUCAUGAUAAGCCCGCGGCCUAUCAGCUAGUUGGCGAGGUAACGGCUCACCAAGGCUAAGACGGGUAGCUGGUCUGAGAGGACGACCAGCCACACUGGAACUGAGACACGGUCCAGACACCUACGGGUGGCAGCAGUCGAGAAUUUUUCACAAUGGGCGAAAGCCUGAUGGAGCGACGCCGCGUGGGGGAUGAAUGGCUUCGGCCCGUAAACCCCUGUCAUUCGGGAUCAAUGCGUCUGGGUGAACAUCCCAUACGUUGAUAGUACCGGAAGAGGAAGGGACGGCUAACUCUGUGCCAGCAGCCGCGGUAAUACAGAGGUCCCAAGCGUUGUUCGGAUUUACUGGGCGUAAAGGGUGCGUAGGCGGUCGGGUAAGUCUGAUGUGAAAUCUCUGGGCUCAACCCAGAAACGGCAUUGGAUACUAUUCGGCUCGAGAGUUGGAGGGGGGACUGGAAUACUUGGUGUAGCAGUGAAAUGCGUAGAUAUCAAGUGGAACACCAGUGGCGAAGGCGAGUCCCUGGACAACUUCUGACGCUGAGGCACGAAAGCUAGGGGAGCAAACAGGAUUAGAUACCCUAGUAGUCC